GACGCACGCUGGCGGCGUGCCUAAUACAUGCAAGUAGGACGCAGUUGCGAACGGGUGAGUAACGCGUAGGUAACUACCUAUUAGAAGGGGAAAACAAUUGGAAACGAUAGCUAAUACCGCAUAAUAGUAGAUGGACAGGCGUGGUAUUAGAUAGUAGGUAGGGCAAGGUCCUACCUCGGCAACGAUACAUAUCCGACCUGAGUGUGUGAUCGGCCACACUGUGACUGAGACUCUGCCCACACUCCUACUGGAGGAAUACGUAGUGAAUCUUCGGCAAUGGGGUGAACCCUGACCGAGCAACGCCGCCUGCGUGAAGAAGCUUUUCCGAUCGUAAAGCUCUGUUGUUAAGGAAGCGGUACUUAACCAGAAAGGGACGGCUAACUACGUGCCAGCCGCCGCGGUAAUUC
rnacentral:rRNA from 1 species